CUGGGAUUUUAUAAUCUCACCACCCUCAAUUUCACACAUUUCAGGUUCGGGAUAGCCGGUAGAUAGCCAAUUGCAUCAAGGACUUCAGUUAGCCUUGCAUUGUCAAAAUUAUAGGUUCACAAACUUGCAUCUUAUUGGUUAGUUGGGGGCUCACGUGUCAUUGCAAAAGUAAUUUUAUACUUUAGUUAUCUGAUUUAAAAUAUGUAUGAACAUAUUUAGCUUUUACACCAUGUUUUUAGUGAGUUUCGGUAUUAUCGAAGAAAAAUGACGAAAAUGCCUCUGUGAGCCAGAAAAUAAUAUUUUAUGAUUUUGAUUUGGAAACGACUUAUGAUUUCUUGAAAUGCAAGAUUUAAUAACUGUCGCUCACCGGGGAGAUGCGAAACUGAUGCUAAGCCUUGCGGGGUUUCGAUCGGCAUUCGGGGUAAUGAGUGCCCAUCGGGAUGUCGCGGCGGUUGUCACGGGCCCGAUGGGAGUUUCGGGUCGUGACAGCAUAUGAGCUGAUGAUGAAGGCAGGGUGUGCAUGAUGAUGGGUAUAUAUAUAUAUAUAUAUACAUAUACAUAUAUAGAUAUGUGUGUUAUAGAAAGUUCAUGAGUAUGGUAUAUGGCCUUGUACAUGUGAAUCUUGCAUGUUGAACUUUGGAAAUUUUUGAGUACUUCAUGUUGAAAUUGGGAUGAUGAAUCUUGAGAAUGUCCCAUUUUCUUCCAAAUUGAGUUUAUUGUAGCACCAAAUGGAUUUUUAGUGCAAAAGAGGCCCUUUUUUCACUUAAGUGCCUUGCUUCUCGUUGCAGCAAGAAAGCAUUCUCACUGCAGCAAGAAACAUUCUGUUUUGGCAGCCAAAAACUCGCUGUAGCAAAAAUAAAUCUCGUUGUAGCGAGAAACUCUCGGGUUCUGAUGCAGUUCCUUAACUUUGAUGAAGAUUUUGACCAGUUUACUAUCCAAACUAAGAAAAGUUGUAAACAUCAAAGUUGCAUCCCUACUUCUUAGCUUUCCAAUGGUCUAAAAAUCAGGUCAAUUGGACUUCUGUAAUCAAAGAUAUGCUAGAAAAAGUGAAAUACAUGCAAACUGAUACUGUUUCUCGCUACAGCGAGAAUGAACUUCGCUGUAGCGAGAAACAUUCUGUCCUACAUGCUACCCUAUUUGGUUUUUGACAUAUUUUUCACCCAUUUAAUUUUGUGGAUUGAUCAUGGGUUGUUGCAACACAAUGAGGUUAUUAAUCAAAGUUUGAAAUGAGGGGUUUUUAGUAAGAAAUUAAAUCAAUUGCAUUGUUUUUGAAACAAGUGCAUCAUGAUUUCCAAAUUCUUCUUAUUGAUUGCUUGUUCCCUUCUUAUGUUCACUCAUUGAGUUUCAUACUCACGUUUUUAAAAUUCAUGUUUUCAGAUUUGGAGGCAAUUGGGACCUAGAUUGAGUCGCACACAUAUGCUCGUCUUCUUGGUAGGUACUAUUGCAUCUCAUUAGCUGUAUCUUCACCCAGAGUCAAUCCGCUAACGGUCUUGAGUCUAUUACUUGUGAACAUGUAUAUGUAAUGUAAACUACUAAGAGUCAUGUUAUAAAUGAAGUAUGUAUAUGUUGGAUUGAUGAUGACAGUACUUUGAUAUAAUAUAAAUAUGAAUAUUCAGUUAUUAUAAAAUAUUACUGGAACAAUUACUUUUGAGAGUUACAGCACUUCAUUUUAAAGAUGAUAGAUGGGAAUGAUAAUCAAAAUUGUAUAAAUAGGCUUGCUUGGGCUUAGUGGGCUAUGCCAAUUGGGCCUAUGCGCAGGUCAUGGCUUGGUAUUUAGGCUGUGACAAUUUACACAACUGACACAUGAGAAGUAUUGCAUUGAAACUUGAGUGAAAUACCAAAUGCACUUCUCAUGGCGGGUCAUGUUCAGUGAACUUGCUCUCCUAGGCAAACACUUACAUUCUAGUUCCAAGUAUCUCUAUACUUCAACCUAUGAGAUCGGUUGCUUACUUCUCAAGUAAUGAAUAUAGAAUGUACCAGUCUCUAGGUAUCAUUGAUUUCUAGUCUCAAUGAUACAUUGACUACGAACAUUUUGAGAUUACGCUUUGAUGUAUAAGGAUCUCAUAACUGCAACUUGUUACAGUUUCCUUGCAAGGCAUAUUAAUCUCAUGGAUUUCAUCCAAAUAGACUUAUAACUUGUUAUAAUUGAUGUCUUAUUGAUGAAGGAAAACCUUUAAUCAUUCAACAUGAAUUAUGUUGUUGCAUGAUUGGAAUCAUGUUUUAAACAAUCCCAAUUGACUGCAGGGCUUAUCUCAACAAUCACUAGAUACCCUUGGCCUUCUUACCCUAGCAUUCGUCUAACGCCCAUAAUUGACAUAAUUUUCACAGACUUUGGACUGUCAUGCCCAUAGAUCACAAACAAAAGUUCUCUUGGAAACUUAAACUUCACAAACCUAUAGUGGCAAUUCGCUUUAACAAAACAAGAUGCUAACUAGUCCAUUCUCAAUAUUACAUCAAAAUCCAAGAUCAAUAGCAAUACCAAGUUUGCUAAAAUGUCCUUGUCCUUAAUGUGGACCACACAGGACUUGUUAACAAAUUCUGCCACAAAGACUUCCUCUAAAGGAGUAAUCACAAUCAAAUGCUCUUUCGUACUACAAUAGAAUUUAUCUAGCUUUGGCACAAAUUGCGAGGCCAUAAAGGAGUGUAUCGACCUGGGACCAAACAAAACUAAUGCUUCAAUACCAUAAAUAGAAAAUGUACUUGUGACUAUUGCAUUUGAAGUUUGAGCAUCUUGCGGUGUCAGAGUAAACACCCUUACUUAACCUCCACUUCAUUACCCGGGUGUGCUGAUCUUCCUCAAGAUGAUGAGGCUACUCCGUUGCCUUUAUCACCUUUAACAUUGUUCAUAGAUGGUGUCGUUUUAGGUGAGGUAGUGGUAAUUGAUCGUACAUAUAUGUGGUCAACUUCUAACGACCGCCCUUGCCUCGAGUAAUCUCUCAUCAAAUAUCACAAUAGGCCACACCUAAAACAUAACCUAACAGCUCAAUGGCACUGUCCACCAUGUGCUUUUCCACAAUAAUUACAUAAAACACCUCUAUUUAAGGCCUAAAUUAAAUGUUUCGCUAGACUAUUCCCAUCUAAAAGGUGGGUUAAAUGAAUCAUAUUUCAUGGUGGCCUAUAGGUCAAGGUGAUUCCUUUUUGACUCUGACGGCUUAUAGAUUUAAGACUUUUAGUUGCAUUAAAAUCUCUUUUGUUAGCUUUAAAAUUAUUAUAGUUUUGAUUAUGAUAAAAUGAUGAAAUUUGCUUGAAUAUUAUUUGAGUAAUUCUUGACAAUUUCUUGAAAUGAUUUAACUCCCAUACAUUUGUUCCUACAUAGAUACAAGCUUGACUCUUGAAGUUAUUGAACUAUAUUUAUACGCUUGUACGACUUAAGUGUAUGAGUGCAUAUGAUUCUUAUUCAUUAAAGUCUAAUUUAAAGAUCAAAGGAAAAUCUAGAUGCACUCAUUAAGGGGGAGUUUUAAAUAUCUUGUUUAAUGAUGAAAAAGAAAGAGGAGAGAAGAAAGACUAAAUCAAAUAAAGUUAAAUAGGUCUUCAUGUUUAAUUUAUGUGUGUGAUGCUUAGUUAUGAUUUUGUUGAAUAUUAUGUAAAGAAAAGUAGAUGCAUUGACUAAAGGGAAGCACCUCAUUAUGCAUAAAGAUUUGAAGCAUUCAACAUUGCAUUCUUAAUCUUGGAAUGUUUUGUCAUCAUAAAAAAUAAGAGAUAGAGAAUGUUGACUCUAUAUGUUUUUGAUGAUAGCAAAAUAUUCCCAUUCAUUUGUGUCUAAUGGCUUUACUUGAGUGUGCAGGAAAAUUAAUAUAUGAAAUUAAUUAUUUAACUCUUCAAAGAGUAUAUCAAAAGAAAAAGAGGGAUAAAAAUAACAAGAUGUAACUAUCUAACAAGGAGGAAGCUUAUUGGUGAAACAAGGAAGAAUGUUGGUUGACUAAGUUUCAAAUUGGAGGAAUGGUGGGCUAAAUAAGUUUGAGAAACAAAACCAACGUAGUUGAUCAAGUUAGUCACCUAAGUGCUCUCUGCCAGAAUCUGCAACCUGAAACAGAAUCAACUUAGUCGACCAAGGCAGUAGACUAAGAGCUCUCUGCCUGUAAGUUUGAAUUCUGCACUAAAAGACAAAUUAACUGCUAGAAUCAACUCUCAACUAGUAAUGGCCAUAAAUUGUCAAACUGCCAUCAGAGUUGUUUCUCUAAGUAUAAAAGGGUCUUUCAAUGGUUACAAAUUAGUAUUUGAAAGAAUUGAAUCCAAGUGAUAUAAAACUGAAAAACCAGAACAUCUUCUCUGCACCUUACUGCACUUAAACGCCAAUCUUUGUAAUAGUGUUCAACAUUUCAUCUUGUACUAUCUAGAUCAAGUAAAUGAUCAGAGGUACUUCUUUAUUUCUUCUCUUCUUGUACACUUAGAUUGAGCGAGUCACUCUAAGGGAUUUAUUCAAGCUUGGAUUGCUUGAUUGAGUGUAAAAGUUCCAAUUUAGCCUAGAAAAGUUGGUUGUGGGGUUUUGGUUGAUCCCGGUAAAAACCAUUAUUGUAGGUUGUGGUUGAGCCUUUGAAAAACCACUUUGAGUUUUAGUUUAACCCGUGAAAAACAAGUGUAAAAGGUUGUGGUUGAGCCUUGAAAAAUCACUUUGGGUUUUAGUUGAUCCCGUGAAAAACCAUCGCUAAAGGUUGUGGUUGAGCUUGCAAAAAGCCAUUGUAAAAGCUUGGUGGUGUAAGCUUGUGAAUUCCACUAUUUUUAGUGAUUUGGUUUGGAAAAUCCUUGGUUGAACAAUCAAGGUAGUGGAUGUAGGUCUUGGAUCAAACCACUCUAAAUUUUUGUGCAUUGUCUACUCUGUUUUUAUUUUUUUGUAAUGAAAAUUAGUUCAUCAUCUUAUCAAGAGCCGAUUUGUGAUAUUCACCCCACUCUAAACAUAUUACCGGGAUCAACAAGUGGUAUCAGAGCCUAACCCUCGUUUUUAAGGCCUAACAUCCUUAGGGUAGAUCCUAAUGGCUCUAGAAAAUUUUGUUGAUGUUGAAGGUCAAUGCAUAAAUAUGCCUCCUCUAUUUAAUGGAUCAAACUAUCCUUAUUGGAGUACUAGAAUGUCCAUUUAUGUUAGGGCUUAUGACUAUGAGAUGUGGGAUGCCAUUACCGAUGGUCCUUGCAUUCCAAUGAUUGCAAAUUCGGUAAAUGGUGAGAAAACUCCCAAAGAUAGAAAUAAAUGGACUGAAGCUUAAAUGAGGAGAGUACAAACGAACUCUAAGGCCAUGCACACUCUCAUUUGUGCACUUGAUUAUACAGAAUACGAUAGAGUGGUCAUGUGCAAAAGUGCCAAGGAAAUUUGGCAAAAAUUAAAAGAGUUAUAUGGAGACACAAAUAUGGAAAAGGAAUUGGAACACAACUCUUGCGAGAAUCAAUGCUCAACAAGCAACAUGGCAAAUGCAAACAAGGAAUCAAGUGAAGAUGAAUACUCAAAUCAAAUUGAAUUAUGCUUCAUGGCUCUUGAUGAAUUACAUGAUGUUUUUGAGGAUUUAGCAUUUGAGUUUGAGAAAAUGAAUAUGAAGAACAAGAAAAUCAUUUCUACACUCGAUGUUGAAAAUGAAUUUUUGAUGAAAACAAAAAUUGAUUUGGAAAAAGAAAAUGAAAAUUGGGAAAAGGAUUUUAAAGCUUACCAAGAGGAAAUUGAUUUUUUGGAAAAAGGAAAUUUUGAUGUGAAAAUAAAAUUUGAAGAUUUAUUAAAUGAGAAAGAGGAAGAAAGAUCAAACUUGUGCUUGAUGGCUAGAGAUGAUGAAUCUGAGGUGUCUUCUACUUCUUGUGACAUUUCAAUUGAUGAGCUACAAGAUGAAUAUGAAUGUCUCUAUGAUGAGUUUGAAAAGCUUGCAUCAAAAUAUAAAAUUUUGAAAAGAAAAGCUACAUCUCUUGAAAAUGAUUUAGAAAAGAUAAGACAUGAUUUCAACUCCGUUUUUGAGCAAAGAAAUUUUUUGCAAAUUGAAUUAGAUCAUUCAAAAACAGAUUUUGAAAAUCUACAAUUGGAGUUGAAAAACAGAACAGAUGCUUUACAAGCUGCAGUUGCUGAAAAUACUGCUCUUAAGAAUUUAAGAAAAGAAUCAUCAAGAAAGAGCACAAAUUUCAUAAGAAAUGCUAAUGAUUUCUCCCCUAGAUGCUUUGUAUGUGAUAGAACUGGACAUUUAUCCUAUGAUUGCUUUAGAAAAAGAAAUGUGCAGAAAAUUAGAAAAAGUUGGGUUCCAAAAGGAACUUUAUGCAACGAGACUAACUUUAUGCAACGAGACUAACUUUCAAGGAUCCGAAGCAAUUUGGAUACCAAAGAUCAAAUGAAAAAUGUCUCUUGUAGGUGUGGUAGAGCAAGGAGGAUCAAUUCUUGAAGAAUGGAUGCUCUCUAGUCACACGUAAAGGAAAAUGGGUGAUUUCUAUGCUAAUUUUUUUUUCAAUGAGAAUCUUGAUUACUUGAAUGUUUCAUUCAUUUGGGUUGGUUUCUAAAAUUGUUUGCUCUUUUUAAUUGAAAACUUUGGUUGCCUAUUCUUGCUUGAAUAUUAAGUGCAAAAUUCUUUAUGCUUUAUUGAUAAAUCUUGGCUAUGUAACUUGAUUUGAUAUGAUACAUGUUAUAAGUUGCAAGGAAGUAUGAAUCUAAAGAUGGAGUAUGUACUUAUAUUUGAUCUUGAAUAUGUCAUCAUCCUUAUUUUGAGAAAAUUGUUUUAUUAAGAUUGAUUGAUUAUGGAAAAUUAUUUCUAUAAAAUUUCCUGAUGAUUUAUGACAUUGUUUCUAUUCUGCUUCUUUGAGGAAAAAUGAUUUUUGUGGGUAAUUUUGAAACAUGAAAGGUUAGAUAAUGUGAUAGAAAUAUGAGCAUACUUAAUGACUUCACUCACACCUAUUCAAGUAGCUUAAGAUAAGGAAAAUUGAGUUAAAAAAAUAUUUAUCUUUGAUUUCCUUGUGCUUAACAUAAGUUGACCAUUUGAACAAUCUUGAUUUACAUUCUAGAACUUGCUUGAAUAGUUCAAGAUGGUUGACAAUGAGCUUGAAAGUUUUAACUACUUUGAUUGGUACUUUUAAGGCAAAAUGAGCUUAAAUGAGAAAAAUGUUGCCAUCCUUUAAGUUUAGAAUGAUUUAUGAAUUGAACAAGUGUGUUUCAUAAUGAAAAUACUCAUGACUUGUUCUUAUUGGAUGUGCCUGCUUGCUUGUUAGCAUGAAUGGUCAUAAAGGUAUUUUUGGAACUUAAUUGUGACAUAUUUGCAAAUAACCCUUGACAUGCAUAUACAUGAUUCAUUAUGCCCAUUACAUAUUUCAUAAAUCAUUUAGAGCAUAAUGAAACAAAAUUGAGUGACAUUGAGCUCAUGAUUUUUCACAAAGCAAGUAUAAUCUUGAAUGUUUCAAGUUAAAAAGUUUGCAAAGAAAGAUUAAAUCUUUAUCGAUUGAUUUUCUUGUGAAAUCUUUUUAUUCUCUUUGAUUGAAAUUAAUUCUUUAUUUUUAAUGACACAACAUGAUUGAGUAAACUUGAUUUGAUAUAUUUAUAUAAAUUACACAAAUUCGAUGUUGAUUGGUAUUUCUCUUAUGAUUGUCUUAUGAUUGGUGAAAUUGAUUGAAAGAGAUUUCUUAAGCAUGAUUUUGAGUGUGAUAAUUUAACAUUGAUGGAAUUUUUUUUCAAGCAAAAGAACAUAUCUAUUUACAAUGUUUGGCAUCCUUGAGAUUAUAAUGAUUUUAAUGAUAUAUAACUUGAACAAGCAUACCUUGUGUUGAAAAUGCCAUUAUAUCUUGUUCUUGUUACAAAUGAUUGCUUGAAUAACCUCAAGGGCAUUUUUGUCCAUAUGCUGAAAAAUUAUAGAAAAUGCUAAAUUUGAUGCUUAUUAUGCUUAAACAUUGUUUAAAUACUUGUUGUACAUGUUAUAAGUCAUAAUCACGCAUCAUGAUGUAAAUUGAAUAUGUUUGAGCAUAUUAAAGGCAUGAUUCUUUUAAUAAGCAUUUCAACUUUUUAGCACUUGUGAACAAUGAGCAAUAAAAGCCAAAAUUUGAGUUCACAUGUUUUUCUUGAAGAAUAUUUGAUCAUAUGUCAAGCCCAGCUCUACAAUAUAUUUAUUAUGCCAUUCUUAUAUAAGAAUGCAUGUUUGCUUACUUGGGUACCUCGAAAAUCGUUAAAGAACGACAAUGUACCAAAUGGUACAAUUAAGUUGAAUUAAGCCUCGAACUAGUCCAAAUAGAGAUUUUAAGAUGAAAUUGAGAAUUUUAAAACCCUAGAAUGACUUAAAAUGGUGAUUCGGAGUUUGAGGACCGAUUUGAAGUCAAAUUUGAAUUUUCAUGACCCAAGGGCAAAAUGGUCAUUUUGCCACCCGAGGUUAAAAUUGGAAUGUUGGAAGAAGUUUUGGAUCAAGAUUGACUAUUUAGAACAUAAUUUGAGUUUGAGAAGUGAAAAAUUUUAAUUCCGACAUUUUUUCGAGCAUAGGGGUAAAAUAGUAAUUUUGCCUCCUAAGGGCAAAAUCAAAAAUUUACACCACCCAACCCUUGUCCAGCACAUGGAUUUUACCCAUUAUUAUCAUGGAUAAUUGAAGAAUUUUAUGUGGUGGAGAGAGAAAGCUUAAUAGUUAAGAAUUUAAAAAUGGACCAAUGGUAAGGUGACAAGUGUUAAGCUUUUAUUUCUUUAUUAUUUUCCUUAUCAAUUAGCACAAAACUAGCCCAUUUCUCUUCAUUAUGGUCGGCCUCACCAAGGAGAAACAAUAAAAAGGAAGAACAAAACCCUAGGUGGAAAAAUUCAAGAGAAAAGUGUGAAAAUUCAGGGAAACAAGUGAAAAAAAAGGUAAGAUUUUUCAAUUAAACUUGAGAUCUCUCUUUCUUAAGCAUUUUUUCUUAUUUUCCAUGGUUGAAUCAUAUGAAAUCAUGAUGAAUCCCUUGCUGGCCGAACACUUAGAGGGAGGUUUUGAUGCUUGAUUUGGUUAAAUUUCAAUGUAUUUUAGUGUUUUUAGUUAGUUAGUGAUGUGUAGCAUGAAAAGCCAACAAGAAAAAUUCAUUUUUUCCCAUCACCCAUCAUUGGCCGAAUCUUCCAUGUAGAGUGUGGAUGGUGGAUUUGAUUUUAUUUCAAGUGAAUUGGUUAGAAAAUGAUGAAUUACGGUGAGAAAAUCAAGUAGGAAAAAUCAUAAUGUUGAUGAACCCACCAUGUCCGAAAUUCCCAAGAGAAAAUGUGAAGAUGAUUUUGCUAAAUUUUAUGCUAUUUGACUUGUGUUUGAUGGUUUGGAGAAUUGGACGAAAAAUGGCGUUAAUUGGAGUUGAAUUGAACAUAUUGGCCAAUUAAUCGGGUGAUAGAUCGAAUUAGGCCAAUACCAUUUUAUUUAGGUACACAAUUGAACUUAUAUUGAAUACCGUAUUUAGAUGGUUACCCGAGCGUUUCACAUCCCAUUUCAUGCAUUAGUAAAGAGCUUGAAAUAGAUUUAUAAUGGUACGACAUAGUAUAUUGAAUUAUGUGUCGUGUAUUGUAUAUAGAUGGUGAGCCCUCUAACAAGGGUAAAGACGUUGUGUCAGAGGACUGAGAAUAAGAGUAUUUCAAACUCUUGAUACAGUGAGUAACCUUAUCAUCAUCUUGAUUAUCUGAAGUGAAUUUUAAUUCGUUUUUGUGAUUUUAUGAAAAAUGAGUUUAAAUGGCAAAUCUUUAUGUUUUAUAAGCAAAAUGUGAUUAAAUGAAAUGAUUUUAUAAAAUUGUCUUGAAAUUGAAAGAUGGUUUUGAAAAUGGAGUUAUUGGAGACUAAUUGCUGUGUUAUAAAUCAUGGUUUGAAUUGAAUGGCUUAUGAUAAUAUUGGCAUGAAUUGUUGAAUUGGUAAAUGUGCUGAAAAUGUAUAAACUGUUGAUUUGCCUUGAGAGGCGGUAAAAUAAAAUAAUUGCCAUGUCAUGCUAUUGCAAAUUUUAUUGUAUGGUGGGUUUAGCUUGCUGCAGUGGGCAGGUUUUGUGGACCAGCCCUUUUGAGGGGCAUGGAAUCUUGUUAUAUUCUUACCUCGAUUGGGGAGGCGCGUAGGGUAACUCUCAAGGUACAACUUUAGAGUUCACUUCACGUUAAACCACCACGUGAGGGUGAACUCAGCCAAUGCCAAGGAACGACUAUGUUUUCAAAAUAAAAUCAUGAUUUAUGCGUACAUGACUUUUUAACAGCCUUGGCGGAUUCGGUUGGGAUAGCCCCAGGCCAAGGUAUCCCUGAUAACUGAGUAUGGGAAUGAUUUUGGCACGAGCCACGCUUUUCAGGAAAUCAUAAGCCUCGUUGUUUAUUUUGGUGAAAUGAAUCUAUUUUAUCUUAUUAAAAUGAGUUCGAAAUGCUGUGAAUCACUUUUAUGCUAAUCUAUUUUAUCUGUCUCCAUUUACUCGGCUUUAGAUAUUUUAGAUGAUAUUUGUUUACUCACUGGGAUUAUAUAAUCUCAUCACCCUAAUUUUCACCCAUUUCAGGCUCAGGAUAGUCGGUAGAUAGCUCAUUUCGUUGAGGGCUACAGUUGGGCUUACAUCCUCAAAAACUGUAGGUUUAUCGCUUUUGAUACUUUUGGUCGUUCGUGGGCCCACGUGUCACUGUAAAUUAAAUCUUAUACUUUAGUUAUCUGUAUUAUAGUAUGUAUGAAUUUAUUUAGCUUUUACGCUACAAAAAUUAUUUACCGGUAACUCUAUAAAUAUUGUUUUAUAAGAAAAUAAAAUAUUUUAUUGAAUAUUUUUAUUAUAUUUAAAUAGGUAUUGUUUCACUUUAAAUGAAUGUUUUAGACAUCUAAACUUAGUUUUGAUUAUGAAAUAUGUGUUUUCCACUCGCACACUACAUUUUUAGCUGGUUUCGAGAUUUUUGAGGAAAAAUGAUUAAAAUGCCCUUGUGAGAAAUUUUUUUUUUCCUAUUGUUUUGAUUUGGAAAUAGUUUAUAAUCUCUCAAAACAUGAUACUUAACAACUGUUACUCGCAGGGGAGGUGCGAAAACUGAUAUUAAAGCCUUGCGAGGUUCCGGUUGGCAUUCCGGGCAAUGAAUGUCUAUCGGGACGUCGCGACGAUUGUCACGGGCUCGAGGGGAGUACCGGGUCGUGACAUCAUACAUGUCUAAAAUGAUGUUUUAACAUGGUUGAAACGAAAUUCUAAAUUGUUCUCACACAAAUCCAUGUUUUGAGAUCAUUAUACCUUAGAAUAUUGCAUGUUUUGCACUUUUCUUUGGAUUUUCAAUAUGCAGGAAUCAAGCUUAAUUGACUUUUCAGCAUUGCUAGUCGACUAUUGUAGAACAAAAUGCAAACAAUGCUGCUGGACCCAAGGAAUAUGUAGUUGACUCUUGAGUGCUCUAAAGCCAAAAUGGACAGGUUUUGAGUUCCAAAAUGUCUUUUUACUUUACAUCUGGUCCAUUACAAUAUUUUCUUCCCCUAUAUUUCCUUUUUCAAAGAUGAUUCUUGACUCUUAAAAACAUGCAACAUGAAUACUCUCAUGAUCAUAUGGUGCUAGUAAUGGUUCUUAAGUUUGUAAAACUUGCUGAAAAUGGAAAAUCCUUUUUGAUGACAUAAAUCUAUCUAUUCCCAAGCAUGACACUCAUAUUGAUUCCAUAAAUUCUCAUGUAUUUACAAUGACAAAAUAGAAAUAUGAGAAAUUGCUCAUCAAUGCUUGAAUUUGCUAAUUCGAUUAGAUUUUCAUGUGCUUAUAUAGAAAAUAUCUUCUCAUGAAAAUUGAAAUGUUCAAAUGCUAAUCUAGGAACAAUUCUUGAAAUAUAUUUUACGUUUGUGCUUAAAUGAUUGUUUCAAAAUUGAUUUCUUGAUUAUGCAUACAAACUUGAUUAAGAUGAAUUCAUCAAACUUAAUGAAAAUAUUCUUGGUUCAUUUACGGUCAAGACACAUGCUUAUAUGAUUUUUCUUUAUGCUUGACCUUAAGGUUUGAAAUCUAAAACUUGACUUGAGCUAUGCAUUUGAAUAUGAAUUUAAUUGUCAAGUUUGAUCAUGGCAUAUAUUGUGAGUUGACAUAGUUGAAAUUUAUUUUGAAUAUGCAUUUAAAUGUUAACUAUGUCUUCAUUGAGCCUUAACGUUUACAUGAUCUAAAGAUUUUGUUGAAUCCAAUUUUAGCUUAUAGGUCACCAUAAACAACUUGACAUGUGAAAUAAAAUAUGGCCUAUAGCUUUAGUUAGCAAUAAAUGCCUAAUGUGCUUUGAUUAAAUAUAUCUUUUUUCUUGAUAAUUGGUAUUCAUUGAUGAUUGAAUGUUCACUUUGAAUAUAUUCAUGAGUUGAGUGCUUUACUUUCAAUAUUCUAUAACAAUUGAUAUCACUCAUGAAUUAUAAAUUAUUGAGAACUUGCAUGUACCUUGAACUUUAAUGGUUGCAUAUUUUUUCAAUGGGUAUAUGUCUAUAUUGAACUCAUGCUUGCAUUUUGAUGAACAAAAUUGGAAUCAUGAUUAAAGAAGAUAGCCAUGUUAUUUCUUGUAACCAUGUUUGUGCUUAUUUGAUCAUAACUCUCAUACAUGAUUGCAAUAAAUGCAAAAUGCCUUAGUCAUGCUUCAUUAAUAACAAUAUGCCUUUUUCAAAAGUUCUCCUUGCAUUGACAAUUUCAUAUAUAAUUUGGAGAAUACACCUUGCAAUGCUUGCUUUAAAAUGACUUGGAUGAAUGAACACUUGAAAAUAAUUUGGAAGAAUACUCACUAAAAAUGCUUAAUGAUGAUAUUUUUUAAUUUGUCCUUGAGUUGUUAUUUUUAGGGAAUUUCCUAGAAAUGCUUGAUUGAUAUACUGCUUGGCUGAUUGAUAUUGAGAAUGAAUAAUAAAUGCUUGAUGAUGAUUGAUAAUUCUUGAUGAUAAUUGAGAAUGUGCUUGGAGACUAAUGAUUCCUUAGACAUGCCUAGGAACUACUUUGCAAAUAUUUCUUGAAAUGUGAAGUAUUCGAUGUAUAUGUUGAACAUCUAUUCAAAUGCUCAUAUUUGUUUUAAUUCCGUGAAUACUUGAGUAUUAGGAAAAUAAAUUGAAUAUCCAUUUGAAUGCUCAUUUAUUCUAGGCUCAUGAUUUCUCUCCUAAUAUUUGAUCUAUUGAGUAUCUCUAACAUUUUGUGUUGAGCUUAUGAUUUCUUAAGGGGGAGUCAAUCAUUGUUAUUGAUAUCAUAAUGAAUUAAGAUCUUCAACAACAAGGUUUUGUGAGAAUUCAACAUUUGGUGUUCUUCGCUACCGGUAACAUCUUUCUAAACACCAAAAUAGAUAUUGUGCCUUAUAUCGCCUUUCACUUAAACUUGAAUGUUGAAAUGCAUAAUUGGUAUCAAGCCUUAAGUUUUCUCAAUUAGUGUCUAGCUUUAAAAUUAGCAUCAAGCUUUAUAACUGUCUCUUCUCUCUUGAGCUUUAAAUUGAUCAUAUCUUUCUUAAAUGUUUUGAGCCUUGAAGUUGAUAUGCUUGAAAUGCUUAGUGAUAUGGGAAGUCUUUACUAGUGCUUUACUGAUUGAUAUAAUGAGCUUUAAAAAGAUUCCAUCUCUCAUAAUUGAUAUUGUGUUUUUACAAAGGGGGAGAUUUUACUUAUAUCGAUCAAUUGGUAUAUUGAGAUUUAAUACUUGGUAUUAGAGUUCAAACAUGGGUUAUGUGCUUAUUGAACAUCUUUAUGAUCAUCUUUGUUGGACUUCAUAAUUGUUAUGCGCACAUUUUGCUUAUAGUAUAUAUUCAUGAGGAUAAGUGCACAUAUAUGAUGACUUGGUGACUUUAUGGUUACAUAUUCAUGGUCUUAAUGCUUAUAUUCUUGAUGGAUUUUGCUAACAAUUAUUUCUUGAGCUUAAGUGUUUAAUGCUCACUCUUUUUACUCUUUUUGAUAUAACAAAAGAGGGGAGAAGGUUUAUGAGCAAAUUUAAUUUUAUGCAUAUGUUGAGGGGGAGAUUUUAAAAUCAUUUCAAAUGCAAAUUAUGCUCAUAGUUUUGUCAUAUCAAAAAGGGGGAGAUUGUUAGUGUGAGACCUCAACCCUUAUAGGCUCAUGACUACGCAUAGACGCAAUAACACUGGCCAAGGGUAGUUUCGUCAUUUCCUCUAAAAAGCUCUCAGACAAAGGUUUUAUGAUAUUUUAAGGUCUAAAUAGGCAUAAGACUGAAUAAAUAAUGUGUAAUGAUGAAAACACGAAGAAAACUAGAAGUUUCGAUAAUUUUCACAAUAAGGGCAAAAUGGUCAUUUUGUACCCUGAGUCAAAAUUUUAAGUUUUCGUAAACCCGAGUAGUUUAGAUCAUUGUGGACCUUGUCCCAGUGUCAAAAGAAUAAAAAAUGUUCACAAAGGAUUGGAGAAGAACAAGUUAACUUGUUAAAGGGCAUUUUCAUAAUUUCAAGGGGAGUUGGAUAAGUAUGAACUAUAAAUAUUUUUCUUCCAACAGCUUCCUCAUUCUCCAGCAGCUUUUCUUCUUCUUCUUCUUCCUUCUUCCUUCUCACGUUUCUUCAUCCUUCAUGGGAGUUCUCUUCAAGCUUCCAUAACUUUCUCUCUCUAGCACCAAUUUUCAUGCCUCGGUGCACCAUUUCAUGAAAUCCUUGUGCUCUUUCACUCUCUCACUUUAAAACCCUUGAAAAAUCCUACUUUCAUACUUUCUCUCACUAGCUAGGUGUUUAAAGAGAGAAAGAGAGAGAAAGCUCCCAUAAUGGCUUGGAAAAUUUAUUAGAAAGGAUUUCAAAGUUUCAAGCUACCAAGGUGAGUAGGGGGUAUCAAUUUUAAAAAUUUUCAUAAAUAUAUACCUAUAAGUAUGAUUUAUUUUAAUUACGAAAAUUAUGGAUAACAUGUGCUAGUAGAUAUUUUAGGGAAUUGUGAAUGUUUGUAGUUGUGGUUAUCCACUAAUUUUAGAGUGAUUAGGGUAGUGAAAAUAGAUAGCCAUUUAAAUGGCAAUUAGAAGCUAGCUAAGAGAAAGCUUUAGACUUUAUAAGUAUGUGAAUUGACAAAUUGAUGAUGCUAAUGUGAUGAUAGGUUCCAACGAAGCCCCAUCAUCCCAUUUGAACAAUUAAGGAAGUUAGGAUCGGCUAAAGGCUCAAAUAAUACCGGUGAGUGGACUUGCAUUUCAAAAUUUGUUUUGGGAAUGUGAAUGUAAUUGUACAAACAUUUGAAAGAUUUUAUCUAGCUUUUCUUUAAAAAUGUACCUUGGGAACAAGCCUUUGGUGAAGUGUUUUUAUCUUGUGAAAAUGUGCUAUAUAAAUGGUUUAUGUGUUAUCACAAUAUGAUUGUCAAACCUGUUCUAUAAAAUAAUUACGACGUCAUUUACAUGCUAAAUAGAAUGUUUGCAUAUUUAGGAAGUUCAAGAAAUCGUUAAAAGAAGAUAUUGCCCCUAAUGGUACCAUUAAGUCGAUUAAGCCUUGAACUAGUUCAAAUAGGAAUUUUAAGGUGAAAUUAAGAGUUUCACAAUUCAUGAAUGAUUUAAAAUGGUGAUUUGGAGUUCGAUGAUCAAUUUGGAGUCAAACCGAAAUUUUCACUAUCUAGGGGCAAAAUGGUCAUUUGCCACCUGGGGACAAAAUGAGAAUUUUAGAAAAGAUUUUUUUUGCCGCAUUUGACUUAUUAGAGUAUGAUUUGAGUAUUGGAGUAUGUUUUGAGGUUUAGAAGUGAAAAAAUUUUAAUUUCGGUAUAAUUUAGAGCAUAGGAGUGAAAUGGUAAUUUUGCCACCCAAGGGCAAAUCGGUAAAUUUUCACCCCCGACACUUGUCAAGACCAAGGGAUUUUAUUCAUCAUGGAAAUGGAUAAACAUGAGAAAUGUGUGGUGGAGUAUUAAAGAAUUAAAAGUCAAAUAUUUAAAAUUUGAACCAAUAAGGAAAUGCCAUGUGUCAUGCUUUUAUUAUUUUAUUAUUUCUUUAUAAAAAGGCAAAAAAUCAGCCCAUUUCUCCCAUAAUGAUCAGCCAAAUCUGAAGAGAAGAGAAACCAAGGAAGAACAAACCCUAGGUGGGAAAAAUCAAAGAGAAAAUGUUGGAAUACAAGGAUUUGAUCAAGCAAAGGUAAAAUUUCUUUGAUUUUGCUAGUGAUUUACCUUACCCAUGCAUUUUCCCUUAAUUUUCAUGGUUAAAUUACAUGUUUUCAUGAUGAAUUCAUGGCUGGUCAAAAUGGGUAAGGAGAGAGAAAGAUGUUGGAUUGAAUUGAUUUUAAGAUAUGUUAGUGUUUUUAGUUAGUUUAACAUAUUUAAAAGCAAAACAACAAGAAAAGAAUCCAUUUUUCCCACGAAUCUUCUUUGGCCAAAUCAUCCUUGAUGUGUGUGGGUGAUGGAUUAUUAUUAUUUCAAGAGAAAUGGCUUAGAAAAUGAUGAAUAAUGGUGAGAAAAUUAAGUUGGAAAAAUCACGGCGUUAGUGCACCGUAAUGGCCGAAUUUUUCCAUGAAGAAAUGGGAAGGUUUUGAUGCUGAAAUUGGUGUUAUUUGAAUAAUUUUUGGUGAAUUGAGGUAUUAGAAAUGAAAUGGAGCAAUUUGAAGCCAAAUUGGACACAAUUGUCAUUUAAUCCGGUAAUAGGCUGAAUUAGGUCAGCACUGCAUUUAAGCGGUAGUCGGAUAAGUUGCAUAUCAUAUGCAUAUACACCGAGCUUGAAUUGAUUUUAUAAUGGUCAAGCAUUAAUGUGGUGAAUUAUGUAUUGUACAUUGUGGAUAGGUGGUGAGUAAAUUACACUAGUAAAAGUACAGAGAUUGUGCUUGAAGACUGGGAUUAGGAGUACAUCGACUCUUAGAACUGUGAGUAAACUUAUUAUCGUCUUAAUUAUCAAGAGUAGUUUUAUACAAUUGUGUGAUUUUAUAGAAAAUGGGUUUAAAUGGUAAAUUGCUAUGUUUUAGGAGAAAUUGUGAUUUUAUAAAAUAAUUUUAUAAAUUUUUUGGAAAAUUGAAUACUGGUUUUGAAAUUAGAGUAAUUGGAGACUGUCUGCUUGUGUUAUAAAUUGUGUUUUAAAUUAUAUAGCUUAUAGCAAUAUGUGAGCAUGAAUGGCAAAGUUGGUAUCUGUAUCAAAAAUUAUAUAUACUAUGUAUUCAGCCUUGAGAGGCUAGAUUACGAUAAAUUGCCAUGUCAUGCGAAUAAAUAUUUUAUAAAUCAAGUGAUAGAUAAAAUAAUCCAUAGUCACUGCAGUGGUGGGGGUUCCCGUGGACUGCCUAUGAGAGGGGCACGGUAACUCAGUUAUAUAUUUACCUCGGGGGGGAGAUGUUGGACAAAGUAUCUCUUGAGGUAAAGGUUUGAGUGCACUUCACGUGGACCACCGCGUGAGAGUGAGACUCAGCCAACGCCAAGGAACGGCUAUGUCUCAAAUGUGAAAACAUGUUUAUGGGUAUGGGACAUUUAACAGCCUUGGCAGUCUUAGUGGGAUACCUUGACGAAGGUACCCGCGAGAAUGAUUUUGGUAGGAGCCAAGUUUUGUGAGAUAUAUAAGCUAUGUCGAUUAAUUGAGUAAACUGAAUAUUCAUGUUAUGAAACAUAUAUUGUAAAAGAAUAUUUUAAUUCGUCUCUAUUUACUCGCCUUUAGAUGGUUUAGAUGGUGUCUGUUUACUCACUAGGAUUUUAUAACCUCACCACCCUCAUUUCCUCACAUUUCAGGCUUAGGGAAUUUCAUAGUUAGCUGACUUUGACAAGGACCUUCAUUUGGACUUGAAUCGGCAAAAGUUGUAGGUUUUCAGCUUCCGAUGCAUUUUGGUCAGUUAGGGGCCCAUGUGUCAUUGUAAAAGUAAUUUUAUACUUCAGUUAUCUGAUUUCAAGUAUGUAUGAACAUAUUAGCUUUUACACCAUGUUUUUGGUGGGUUUCGGUAUUUUUGAAGAAAAAUGACGAAAAUGCCCUUGUGAGCCACAAAAUAAUAUUUUAUUAUUUUGAUUUGAA
rnacentral:lncRNA from 1 species